AUUUGGUCGAAGCCGAGUCGUUUCUUUUUCAUUUCUACUGCAGUCGCGCGGGGAAAAACCGUUGAACUUUCUCAAACACGCGCCUGCCGUUUGAAGCGGACUGAGGUGAAUUCAGUAAUCCUGCUGUGAAAACUGACGGUCCCCUGCACGUUUCCAUCUGCAGUAAGUCUCCUGUCAUGCAGAAACCAGUACGCAGCCUUAUGUCCUUUUCACCUAGCCACUCACUGUGAAAAGUGCACGGAUGAUGCUCGGUACGGCAAACUAGCACAAAACUUCACAGGCUCACUUCUAAAGCACAAACCGUCCCCCCGUACAGAACAGCAUUCUCCUAUGACUGAAUUCAGAAAGGACUUACCAUCUUACGGAGCUCUUGCUCCCGGCCGCUAACGCGUGUGAGGACGUCUAAUCAAAAGAUGAAGGCUUAAAAGAAAUUCUGCUAAUAAUGUAAUUGGAGCGCCUAAGGCAGUAAACCCGCUGAAUCUACAGCAGACCUGUACAGAUGGCACCGCUGCUUUUCGAUGCUCGGUAACCCUUCAUCUCUAUGACAUCAGACAGUGAGAGAGGACGAAAUGUUGACAAACUUCAAACGUGACGGUGUUUUUGAACGACUGUCUAUGUAAACUAGACAUCAUGCCGAUGACAGAUAUAUGAAUGGGAACUAUAAAGGCCCUUUAUUUACAGUAAUACAGAAAUGCUUAUUAAAGUGCUUUCAAUGUUGCCAUUUAACACUGACACUCUGUACUAAACCAAAGGGUCAUAUUUUAGGUUUAAAGGCACAGUAUGGAAGAUUUUUUUAUAUAUGUGACCAGUCACGGAAAGUAUAGACAAAAGUCGGAUCUGGGGCAUUUUAAGAUUCACAGAUUCUGAAAGUGCAGUUUCUAAGCUUUCCAACAAUGUGUAAAUCUGAUACGAUUUGGAGAAGUUGUGGCCAUUUGAAUGUAGGAGCUCAGAAAAACUCAAACCAAAAAAAUAGAGAGGAAAGGUACUCUUCUUUCCAGCUGGGGGAGACAAUAAGGCUCAUUUACAUCUCAUUUAGCUUAGCCAUACCCCCUGUAAAGUCGUUUUGAGAUACAGAUGUUCUAGCAUCAUAUGUAGUAUUUUGUGACAGAAGUCCGGAUGACAACAUGCAAAAAUAAACAGUCGAAUCCAGUAUGUUUCAGAUGUGUGAAUAAUCCAAUGACCUUUUUUGUUUACAAAUGCGUAUAAUCCGUGAAAUAUAGAUAUAUAGUCUAUUGUUUACAUCAGAUUUCGCAUGAACGUCUGGUAAUAGAAUAUAAUAUACAAUCUGAGGACUAUUUACAUCGUAACAUGUAAGGGUAUAUGAGAUUACACUUUACGUUCCGUUAAACAAAUGAACCCGCCUUCAAAGUUUGUAUUUAAAAUAGGAAGGUAGUAUAACAGAUU